rnacentral:rRNA from 14 species
AAUUUCAGAUAGAAUGCUUGGUUUGCGACUUUAGGCGUUUAAAUAACGAAAUGUUUGAUCUAAUUUUAGUGAGAUCAAAAUUCCUUUAAGGAAAACCUUUAUCUUAAAUUAAUGAAAAACAUUAUUUUAUUUAUUGCGAAACAAAAUCCAAUAAAGCGGCGCUUUUGGGUAUGAUUUAGUUUCAAAUUUUAGCGAACUGAUACAUCUUAUUAGCUACAAAAAAAAUCAAAAGAGAAGCUGAAAGUAGCGGCGAGCGAAAUCAAAAAAAAAUAACUUGUGGGUUUUAGCCUCUGUUUGAAAUUGUUUAUUUUAAUUUUUAUAGAAAAAUUUCGUUUUCUAACUUUUAGGAAGCAAAACCAAUAGUGUAUUAGUAUUGAGAAGGAAAGCGCUUUGAAUUAAAACAAGGAAAAAAGUCAUGAUAAAUUUGAAAUUUUAGGUAUUCUUUUGUUUUAAACUAAUUACUUUUUGCAUAACGGUUUCAUUAUUUAAAAUAAAGGGUGAGCUUUGAAAAAAUUUAAAAGCUAAUAUUUCAAAACUUUAGAAUAGUUUUAAUCGUUUUUUUUAAACACGAAGCCAAGUGAUCUAUUUAAGUGCUAGCUGAAAUUGACUUAAACGUUAUAUGGAAGGCUUAACUCGUAUCUGUUGCAAUAGGUUGAGAUGACGCUUGAAUAGGAGUGAAAGGCUAAACAAGCUUGGUUAUAGCUUGAACUCUGCGAAAGCUAUUUUAGUAGCGCUUCUACUUAAAAGAUGAGGUAAAGCACUGGUUCCGUUUUGGGCGAUUUAAUACUCUUUCAAGCGUUUCCAAACUUUGAAUGCAUUUUGGGUUGGGUGGUUUAAAGGUAGAAGAAUUUAGUAGUAAGUUAGACUCUGAGCUACAAAGUUCAAAGUCGAAAGAGAAACAACUCAGAUCGUUUGCUAAGAUAUUUAAAUAUAAUUUUAAUAACUCGAAAGUUUUUGGCUUCAAUAAAAAGCUUUUUAGCGUUUAUUAUGUUAGGGUUGGCUUAGAAACAGCUAUCGUUUAAUGAAAACGUAAUAGUUCAAAUAAUUAGCUCAAAAAUCCUUAAAAUUUAAGAUCUUAAGUUCGUCGAAGCAACGAGUAAUUUACUUCACAAAUACUUUGAGGUUACGGUAGCAGAGCAUUUUGUAAUAUAAAAGCUGUGAAGCCAAAAUCAAUAAUGAUUCUGUGAGAAUUAGUAACAUCUAAAAUCUAUAAUGGUUCGUUUUUAAUCUAAGCUUUCUUAUUUCUGUUUUGAGUUUAUUCGAUCCUUAAGUAUAAAACGAAAGUUUUCUAUGAUAGGAAUAAAUACCACGAAAUAUUUGAAUUCUUUGUUUGGUCGAAGAUUCGUCAUUUUUAUACAAAAUUUGAUAGGUUAUAAUUUUUUAUACGCAAAUAUAGUUGUUUUACUUUAAGGAUAAAACGAGAGUUGACUAUAUUCUUACUUAUUUCUCCUAUUUAUUCUUCAGGAAAAAGUAAGGUUUAACUGGAGUUUCCCGAUGAGCUUCAGCUAUUAUCGUAGCUUAUAACCGCAUCAGGUAGAUUAAUAAGAAAUAUUAAAACGUAAAGAAUAAUAAAAGAUAAUGAACUCGGCAAUAAAUCUUCGUAACUUUGGAAAAAGAAGAUAGGGCUUAAUAGAUACUUUUAAUCUUUAAUAGUAAAACAAUGAGCGACUUUUUACUAAAAAAUUAAAAUAACGCGAAUUUUAUCGAAAAAUGUAUGUUAUUUGAUUGGUUCUCAAUGUUUUAAUCUGAAAAAAUGAUGUUUUACGCAUUUUAAUUUAAGGAAAAGCAAAUAGGUGUCUUAUUUUGAGGAUAAUAAUGUAGCGAAAUUCCUUGGCUUUUAAUUGAAGUCCUGCAUGAAGCCAUUAACGACUCAUUGACUGUCUCAUCUUUUAUUCUUGUGAAUUUGAAAUAAAGGUGAAGAUUCCUUUUUUAUAAAGUAAGACGAAAAGACCCUAUCAAUCUUUACUCAACGCUGACGUUGCUUUUUUAAACUUAUCCGUUUAGUAAUAGAUAGCUGUUUUUGUUUGUAACUUUUUUGAAAAACUAUCCUAUAUUUUACUUGAGCUAUUUUAUUUCUUUAAAAAUAGCGUUUGUGUGUGAGUUUAUCUGGGAUAGAUUCCUUUUAAAAAGUAAUGAAGGAAUACAAAGAUAACCUUAAUUAAGAUCUCUUAAUUUUGAGCGAAAAAGUAAAUGUUUGUUUGACUGUAAGGCAUAAAUUGUUUGAGCAGCUACUUUAGUAGGUUUUAUUGAUCCGUUAGUAUUUGAACGAAAAAGCUAUCGCAUAAUAGAUAAAAGAUACUGUAGGGAUAACAAGAUAAUAAGAACCAAGCGCUCAUAGCGACGUUCUUGAUUGUUAUAUCGAUGUCGGUUUAAAGCAUCCUGUUGAUGAAGGUGUUAUCAAGGGUUUAGCUGUUCGCUAACUAAGGCUUUCCAUGAACUGGGUUUAAAACGAUGUGAAUCAGUUUAGUUUCUAUCUGCUUGGUUUAUUAAGGUUUACGGUUGUUUCCGCUAGUAUGAGAAGACCGACGGAAAGAAAGCCUAUAGUUAAAAACCUUUUUGGUUGUUCUGCCACGCUUUUAAUCGUUUAAAAAUUGAAAGCAUUAACUUUUGAAACGUUGCCACAACAACCUUAAAAUAGGUUUAAAACGAAAACUUUGAUCGGUCGAUAAAAAGUGGUUCCCAAGUAACUUAAAUAUAUUGAUAACGAAUGUUUUGAUUAAAACUUUUUAGCUUAAUAAUAUGAUAAUGAUAAGUG